rnacentral:lncRNA from 1 species
CUCUCAGAACAUUUAUUAUUUGAAAGAUCAGCCUCAUGACCAAACUUUUCACUCUCCUCUGCGCUCUCUUGUAGCUGAAAUGCAAACUCUAGAUCACGAAUCACAUCACUCAUGGAUGGCCUUUGGGCUCCGUCAUCAUUCAAGCAUCUAAUUGCAACCUCAGCAAAUUUGUUCAAGCUUUCAUUUGAUAUCUUACCCUUCAAAAGCGGAUCAACAAUCUCAUCAAUGGUUCCAUUGCGAUAACAUUGUUCAGCCCAAACAGCUAAACUCGCUUGAUUCCUUUCCAUUGUCCGAAUAAUAGGUGGUCGAGCGCACAAUGCUUCCAAUAACACAACGCCAAAUGAGUAGACAUCGGAUUUUUCCGUUAGCUGCUGAAGUCGAUAAUACUCAGGAUCUAAGUACCCGAUGCUCCCCUUCACUAUAGUACUGACAUGAGUUUUGGACAUGGAAUUGGGUCCAAAUUUGGACAGUCCAAAAUCAGAAACCUUGGCCACCCAUUUCUCAUCCAACAAGAUAUUCGUUGUCUUCACAUCCCGAUGAAUGAUAACUUGCUUCGCCCCAGUAUGCAGAUACUGCAGCCCACGAGCCGCGCCUAUGCAAAUGCCAAGCCGUUGACUCCAUGGAAGAGGAGGAUUAUUGCUGUCAUAGAGAUGAUCCCGUAGCGUCCCACGAGCCAUGAAAUCGUACACAAGGAUCAUCUCCCCGUCAUCAUUGCAGUAACCAAUGAGAGUGACCAAAUGAAUGUGUAUUAGUUGGGAGAGCAUCUCUAUCUCUGUCUGGAAUUCCAGUGCACCCUGUUGUGACCCUGGAAUCAGCCGUUUGAUCGCAACAGGAGUGGCGCCACCGUUGAUAAACCCUUUGUAUACGUUACCAAAUCCUCCAACUCCAAUAAUGAGACCAGCAUCAAAGUUGUUUGUUGCUGCUUUGAUUUCGGAUAGUGAAAAGUGAGUACAGAGAUCGGACGUUAGAGAUGAGCCACGAGACUUCCUUGAAUUUGUCUUAGAAGUAGAAAAACGUCUCCAGAAAAAAAUUGAAAGAGAAAUUGCAACAAAACCUGACAUAAGUCCACCGACAAUGGAAAUUGUAGUUGCCAUGAUAUUCUUGGAUUUCCUUGAUUGUGAGCUUGGCAUUUCCUGUGGCACAAUGGAAGGUUCGUUAUUCCGAGUUUCGCUGAUCAGAGGUUCAGGAUUAGAUCCGGCAAGAUUUCCAUAGUUGUCCACUUUAAAAAUUUCAAUCCCGUUCAAGAUAGAAUCAGAAUACUUGGUCCUCCGUCGGGGAGCAGGGUGUAGUGCAACAGAGAGAUUCUGCUUCUUUUCAUUUCCUUUUGCUCCAAUAAUUACUGCAUAGUCUCUGUAGAUGGGAACGCCGUUUGCUCCACCCCAAAUUAUGAUGUCUGCUUCAGCUCCUGCAAUUAGAUUAGCUACAUAGAUCCGGAACACUCUGUCGCCGGGCUUUGUUACCUCUUGCUGAAACUCGCAAAAAUGAAGCCUGAGAAAAUAUGUGAACCCAGAAUCCACUUGAAACUCCCAAGUGAGACUAUACUCCUCGUUUUUUAUCCUAUCAUUGCCCAUUGACCUGCAGCUUUUGUAGACAACAGCCGGAGCAGUGUAAUUAUUUAUUUUGCUAAAUUGGAGGACAACACUAAUGUUAAACGCAAGAGCACUGGGUCUGGCAUCUGUCAAGUAGUCGUCAUCCCUACUCCAGGUUCGAAACAUGCCUGUGUCAUCCAGCUGUGAAAUCGGAUUCCCACCAACAUUUAUUCGGUAUAACGUCUCGAGGGAAGUACUGUUUAUGAUUCCGUAUUGGUUCCCCUGGCCAACGAACUCGAAACCUGGGUCAUUGGCGGCUGUAUAAUAAAGAUUCGGUGGCAUGGAUACUAUUUCAAUUCCGUUGAUGAAAGCAUAUGAAUCUUUGUAAUCUGGACUUGCCAUGAGCGUUAUGUUCAAGAACCUCUGACCUUCUUCGACGUUAAUGCAAAAUUCUUUGAAAAACAAAUCCUUGCCCAAAGCAUCGGCUGUGAGUGAAGCACUGAAGUUGCUAAGAAGGGUAAAAGAACCGGCUUUAACGGAGAAGAAAGCUUUAGAACUGUUAAAACCUGAAUAUGAGGUUGAAUAGAAAUACAGACGGAUGAAUUUUUGACCCGCGGUGAGGUUGAAUGUGUAGGUGAACUGCGACUGAGAAAGCCGUACUGCUGAAUACGGGGGCUGCUGAGGAGCGGUGAAGGUUCUUGAUGCCUCAUUUUCCGGCUCCGAGGGCGAGUAUUCAGAGUUUAUAUCUCCAAUCCAGGUUCGGUAAUCUAGAGUACCGGAGGAGCCAGUCGAGCCACAAGCAAGAAAUAUGCUCUCUGUGGGUUUGUAAAGAGUGACUGAGUCAUCGGAGAAGGCGAAAGCCAUUGGGUGGAUGAAGAAUAAGAUGUAAAAUGGGGUGAGACAACUGCUGCCAGUGUCCUCCAUGAUGGUUACUGAGAUCUAACAGGCUAAAACAUUUGCAGAUUUUACUGAAAAUCAUGCGCUAAACGCAUGAGUAAAACGCGUCAAUGCUCAGCCGCCCUUAACGAAAGGUAGAAGUUGGUGGGUCUUGGUCUUUGGCAACUGGCAAUUUGGCAUCACUCAUAAAGAAUUUUUUUUUUUUAAUCACAAUGACAUUUGAAAUACCAAUACGUAUUAGCGAGCUAUUACAUCAAUUUAUUAAGCCAAAGGUUACAAUCUAUUAUGACCAUAUAUUUUUUUAAUUACAGUUUCAUUUUUAAACAUAUACCUCUUAAAAUUCUAGAAUGGAGUGCUAGUUUAAGAACUAACGUGAAUACGAACUUUAUUUAAUUUUUGAAGGGGGAAAAAAAGGCAAACAGUGUUUAUGAUAGACAUCAAGAUCGAUAUAAUCCACCAUAGUAUACUUAUAAGCAAACAAUUAACAUCUUAUGACCAUGACCAUUGACCAGGAGUGUAUAGUAGUUCAUAAGGAUACUUUCAUAGUGAAUAUACCUUGCCUCCAGUAACUGUGUUCACAAUAGACUAGGGUUAUAAUUGGAACACUCCUCCUGCUCUCUUCCCUCUCUAUUUACCUCCUUCAGCUCUUUGAGCUCACCCUUGACUGCCAUAGUUGGCUCCAUGAGAGAUGCUCCGCACAAUUCGGUUUAUAGUCUAAUUAACUUUCUUUAAGUUGAAUCUCGGAAACUUAAGAUCUGAAAGAACCUCACUGCACAACGAACAAAAAUAUAUUUUAAAAAAACUAAUUAAAAUAUUAACCAAACUUUAGUUUAAAAAAAUAAAUAAAAUUAUUUUGUAAUCAACAAAGUGUCAUCAUGAUGUGGUGCCAUGGUUCCGGUGGUCCUUUUGUAAUCAAACAUUCUGGUCUUGCCUUAACAUUUCACCUCUCAUAGAACCACUUCUUUUGGAGCUGCCGGAAUACACUCCGCUUCCUCUUCCCCAAUCUAAUGCCCCCCUCAACCCUCGGAGUUAAACGAAAUCCUUUAUUUUAUAAGACUAAGCUCUUUGAAAAGUUCACCAUAUCUAGUGUAACUUCAUUAUCACCAAUCUCGAGAUGUUUAAAAGCCAGUUCAUUAAGGUCAUAAGAAACCAGCUCUCCACUAAUCACUAACAUUCCAAAGUCACUGUUUGAGGAAUUAAAUAGAGCGACCAUAAUCUCCUCCAAGUGAAAGUGAGCAAAUGGUUGAGCAGGUCACCUUGACUAGGUGGUAUGAGCUUGAGCAGAUCACCUCGACCAGGUACAAUGAGGUUGAGCAGAUCGCCUUGACCAGGUGGUGUGAGCUUGAGCAGAUGACCAUGUGGUAUGAGCUUGAGCAAAUCACCUCGACCAGGUGCUAUGAGCUUGAGUAGAUCACAUCGACCAGGUGCUAUGAGAUAGAGCAGAUCACCUCGACCAGGUGCUAUGAGCUUGAGCAAAUCACAUCGACCAGGUGCUAUGAGGUGGAGCAGACCACCUCGACCAGGUGCUAUGAGCUCGAGCAAAUCACCUUGACCAGGUGCUAUGAGCUCGAGCAGAUCACCUCGACCAGGUGGUCUAAACUUGAGCAGAUCACCUCGACCAGGUGAUGACCAGGAAUAAAGACUCAGUUAAAAUAAACCACCACAAAGCUCUUCCAAAAAAGCAGGGCACGAAUUUGAUCAAUUAAUGGUUAUUGUCACGAUCUAAGGUCGUGGGUGUGAGGUGUUUUAUAAAGACCCCGAGAAAACCACGCGGAGAGGGAGGGCUCUUUUUCCCUUGAUCUGACUGAGAAAUUCUUUCUGGAGACUCUACUUUACUUUUCUGCAAAUUAUUCAAAAAGCUUUCAGUUUUAAGGCAAUGUUUAUCAAGCCAUAUGAGAAAUGGCAUAUUUGGUUUUUCCUUUAAAUCCCAUUACUGACUUGAGCGUCGGAGGGUUUAAGCGGGAAAAACUUCCAGCACCUCUGACCAUUCUCUGUAAUUUCAGGUACUUAUUGAUCGUCAGCUUGAAGAUUAUAUGCUCAUGAAUGUUCUGCUCAUAGUUAGAGAAUAUUCUUGGAGAUCAACCAACAGCUUCCCACCAACAAAUUUAAUGCUGAUGCAGGGAUCUGAAACUGAGUCACUAACCAAUUGGUUCAGAUUUCGGCAUCAACAGUCACUAUUGUUGACAAUGCCUAAUGGCCUUACAAUUCUUUCCUCUGGCACAAUCGAGUAUUGUUUAGUCCAAGACUCCACCAUGCCAUACUCCCUCAUCACCCAAAUGUAACAGCCCUCGAUUAGUCUAAGAUUGCUGAUGCUGCAAACAAUCAGGGCAAGUGAUUCUCUUAACACGGCCACAGAAACUUGAGGGCUUUCUCCUUAGCCAUCUUCAUGAUACAUUGGAAGCAUUAUCUCUCCAAACUUCUCAGAAUCAAAAUCAAACAACAUGACAACAUUUGCAGAGGAUUCUUCUCCGGUCUUAGAGGCAAACCAAUGGACAGCUCCAUUGAGAAAUGCUGAUGAAAAUUUAUCAUUUGCAUAGUAUCCAUCAUUAUUUCCAAUUGUUCUCCAUGAAUUCGUUGCUAGUGAAUAUACCUCAACUCUUGGUGGUUUUUUUUCAACAUAUAAUGGCAUAUAAACAUCUCCAAAAUACAUUAUCCUUACAUUAUUUGAGGAUGAUUAUUUGGAAAAUGGAUUAAUUUGAGGAUUAUUAUUAUUUUUUUUUUUUGGAAAUGGAUUAUUUUGCUGAUGANNNNNNNNNNNNNNNNNNNNNNNNNNNNNNNNNNNNNNNNNNNNNNNNNNNNNNNNNNNNNNNNNNNNNNNNNNNNNNNNNNNNNNNNNNNNNNNNNNNNNNNNNNNNNNNNNNNNNNNNNNNNNNNNNNNNNNNNNNNNNNNNNNNNNNNNNNNNNNNNNNNNNNNNNNNNNNNNNNNNNNNNNNNNNNNNNNNNNNNNNNNNNNNNNNNNNNNNNNNNNNNUGAUUUUUACAGCUUAAGUAAAUAAUUUAUUCUAAUUGUCAUUCCCUAUUCCGAUUCAAGUUUAUUCCGAUUCUAGGCCAUUCCGAUUACUGACAAAUAAACGCAGUAUUUAUUGCUAACAAGUGGCAUAAUUAAAGAGGAAUUAAAAUAUUUAUAUCAUCUUAUAGUUAUCGUUUCAGUUUUGAUUUUAAAUGAUUAGGAAAUAGAUGACUGGAUACUUAAAGAAGAGUUAGAACAUUUUUAUUUUAUGUAUAGUACUUGAAAUUUCUCUACUGACUGUAUCUUCAACUUGUUCAUGUGCAUAUAGCACUACAGCUGGUAGAAACUAUAUAUGACUAAAGCUGGGCUUUAGUUUACUUGAAACGUUAGGAAACUAAAUGUUUAAAUUUAUAUUUAAAAAAAAUGAUGCAAGAUUUAAAAAGUUAAACAUUACCUCAAAUGCAUAGGUUUUAAUAUUUUUCUGAGUGUCACGCGCAUAAGUCAUAACCAUGCGCAUUAACUGUCACUACCGCAAAAGUUGCUGCCACAGAAGAUACUAGAAUCUUUGACGCAAAAUUAAUCACUUCAAUCUUAAAUAUAGCUGAGCCGAUGAUACAUAUACCUCAUCAAAUACUGAGGUGGAUUUAAAAUAUCAUGGACAUACUGCAAUUUAUGUGAGAUAUGAACUUAACAUAAUACAUGGGAGUUUGAACAUGGGACCAUACCAAACGUGUGGGGAAAUAUAAAACAUCUGGCGAUAAAAGGGGCCUUAAUUUAGGGACUAACAAGAUAAUCUUUAAAUGGUAUAAAAUUAAUCCGUGCAAAAUAAUUUGCAAAUGCCAUCACCAACUGUUUGGAUGUGAUUGUGGGAUGAGAUCUUGUCAUUAGCGAAGACUUGUACAAGUCGUCAGCAGAAAGGGCAGAAGUUGUUUUCAAUUUUCAAUGCCUUAUUUUGUCGUCCUUUCUCUGUUUUUAAACCUUUCCAACUUGACUUUUGAACAAGUGGAAGCCGUGUUUUUUUUUUUUGCCCUUUUCCUUCCUCCUCUACUAAUAACCAAACAAAACAGUUACUAACAGUUUGAACAGCAUUUUCGUUUCUACAAAUUUAAAAUUACCCUGAAAAUUUUGAUACUGAAUGCAUGCAUGCAUUCGGAAAUACAUAACAACUGAAUUUAAUUAGUUCAGAUUGGAAAAUAUCAUUCAAAAAUAUAAUUAGAUAAAACUUAAUAUUUAUUCUACUUCACCUGUUCACCAUUCACAAUGUUUAUAUAACAAGUGGUUCGAUGUCUUGGAUUUAGAAAGCAAGCAAUAUUUCAUGAUCCCAUCAUCUCCCUUGUGGGUCAAUGAUCUCAGAGAAGGCAUCUCUACAGAGGGAUCCGCUCUCAGAACAUUUAUUAUUUGAAAGACCCGCCUCAUGACCAAACUUUUCACUCUCCUCUGCGCUCUCCUGUAGCUGAAAUGCAAACUCUAGACCACGAACCACAUCACUCAUGGAUGGCCUUUGGGCUCCAUCAUCAUUCAAGCAGCUAAUUGCGACCUCAGCAAAUUUGUUCAAGCUUUCAGUUGUUAUCUUACCUUUCAAAAGCGAAUCAACAAUCUCAUCAAUGGCUCCAUUGCGAUAACAUUGUUCACCCCAAACAGCUAAACUCACUUGAUUCCUGUCCAUUGUCCGAAUAAUAGGUGGUCGAGCGCACAAUGCUUCCAAUAACACGACGCCAAAUGAGUAGACGUCGGAUUUUUCUGUUAGCUGCUGAAGUCGAUAAUACUCAGGAUCUAAGUACCCGAUGCUCCCCUUCACUAUAGUACUGACAUGAGUUUUGGACAUGGAAUUGGGUCCAAAUUUGGACAGUCCAAAAUCAGAAACCUUGGCCACCCAUUUCUCAUCCAACAAGAUAUUCGUUGUCUUCACAUCCCGAUGAAUGAUAACUUGCUUCGCCCCAGUAUGCAGAUACUGCAGCCCACGAGCCGCGCCUAUGCAAAUGCCAAGCCGUUGACUCCAUGGAAGAGGAGGAUUAUUGCUGUCAUAGAGAUGAUCCCGUAGCGUCCCACGAGCCAUGAAAUCGUACACAAGAAUCAUCUCCCCGUCAUCAUUGCAGUAACCAAUGAGAGUGACCAAAUGAAUGUGUAUUAGUUGGGAGAGCAUCUCUAUCUCUGUCUGGAAUUCCAGGGCACCCUGUUGUGACCCUGGAAUCAGCCGUUUGAUCGCAACAGGAGUGGCGCCACCGUUGAUGUACCCUUUGUAUACAUUACCAAACCCUCCAACUCCAAUAAUGAGACCAGUAUCGAAGUUGUUUGUAGCUGCUUUGAUUUCGGAUAGUGAAAAGUGAGUACAGAGAUCGGACGUUAGACAAGAGCCAUGAGACUUCGCUGACUUUGUCUUAGAAGUAGAAAACCGUCUCCAGAAAAAAAUUAAAAGAGAAAUUGCAACAAAACCUGACACAAGUCCACCAACGAUGGGAAUUGUAGUUGCGCUCUUACUAUUGGAUUUCCUUGAUUGUGAGCUUCGCAUUUGCUGUGGCACAGUGGAAGGUUCGUUAUUCCGAGUUUCGCUGAUCAGAGGUUCAGGAUUUGAUCCGGCAAGAUUUCCAUUUUUGUCCACUUUAAAAAUUUCAAUCCCGUUCAAGAAAGAAGAAUAAUUGGUCCUCCGUCGGGGAGCAGGGUGUAGUGCAACAGAGAGAUUCUGCUUCUUUUCAUUUCCUUUUGCUCCAAUCAUCACUGCAUAGUCUCUGUAGAUGGGAACGCCAUUUUCUCCACCCCAAUAUAUGAUGUCUGCUUGAGCUUCUGCAGUUAGAUUAGCUACGUAGAUCUGGAACACUCUGUCGCGGGGCUUUGUUACCUCUUGCUGAAACUCGCAAAAAUGAAGCCUGAGAAAAUAUGUGAACCGAGAAUCCACUUGAAACUCCCAAGUGAGACUAUACUUCUCGUUUUUUAUCAUAUCAUUCCCUAUUGACCUGCCGCUUUUGUAGACAACAGCCGGAGCAGAGUAAUUAUAUAUUCUGCCAAAUUUGAGGACAACACUAAUGUUAAACGCAAGAGCACUGGUUCUGGCAUCUGUCAAGUAGUCGUCAUCCGUACUCCAGGUUCGAAACAUGCCCGUGUCUUCCAGCGGUGAAAUCGGAUUCCCACCAACAUUUAUUCGGUAUAACGUCUCGAGGGCAGUGCUGUUUAUGAUUCUGUAUUGGUUACCCUGGCCAACAAACACGAAACCUGGGCCAUUGGCGGCUGUGUAAUAAAGAUUCGGUGGCAUGGAUACUAUUUCAAUUCCGUUGAUGAAAGCAUAUGAAUCUUUGUAAUCUGGACUUGCCAUGAGCGUUAUGUUCAAGAACCUCUGACCUUCUUCGACGUUAAUGCAAAAUUCUUUGAAAAACAAAUCCUUGCCCAAAGCAUCGGCUGUGAGUGAAGCACUGAAGUUGCUAAGAAGGGUAAAAGAACCGGCUUUAACGGAGAAGAAAGCUUUAGAACUGUUAAAACCUGAAUAUGAGGUUGAAUAGAAAUACAGACGGAUGAAUUUUUGACCCGCGGUGAGGUUGAAUGUGUAGGUGAACUGCGACUGAGAAAGCCGUACUGCUGAAUACGGGGGCUGCUGAGGAGCGGUGAAGGUUCUUGAUGCCUCAUUUUCCGGCUCCGAGGGCGAGUAUUCAGAGUUUAUAUCUCCAAUCCAGGUUCGGUAAUCUAGAGUACCGGAGGAGCCAGUCGAGCCACAGGCAAGAAAUAUGCUCUCUGUGGGUUUGUAAAGAGUGACUGAGUCAUCGGAGAAGGCGAAAGCCAUGGGGUGGAUGAAGAAUAAGAUGUAAAACGGGGUGAGAUAACUGCUGCCAGUGUCCUCCAUGAUGGUUACUGAGAUCUAGCAGGCUACAACAUUUGCAGAUUUUACUGAAAACCAUGGUCUAAACGCAUGAGUAAAAUGCGUCAAUGCUCAGCCGCCCUUAAACGAAAGGUAGAAGUUGGUCGGUCUUGAUCUUUGGCAAUUGGCAAUUUGGCAUCACUCAUAAAAGAAUUUUAUUUUAUUUUUAAUCACAAUGACAACGACAUUUGAAAUACCAAUACGUAUUAGGGAGCUAUUACAUUAAUUUAUUAAGGGUGUGUUUAAAAUUGAGGUGAUGUGUCUUUUAAACUAAAGAUGUAGAAAAAAAUUGUAAAUAUGAAAUUAAAAUUUGUAAUAUAUAGUAAAUGUAAAAUUUAAAUAAUAAUUUUGAUAAAAUUAUUAAGGAUGUAAUAAAUUUUUUAUUAUACAAGAGAAAAAUUAUAUCAACAUAGCUUCUAAGUUACAACAGUUAGUGUUUAUUAAACACUUUAAUACUUUAACUUUUAAAUUACAAUUGUCCAACUUCAAUUCCAAACGCACCUUAAGUCAAAUGUUACAAUAUAUUAUGACCAUAUAAUUUUUUAAUUACACUUUCAUUUUUAAACGUAUACCUCUUAAAAUUCUAGAAUGGAAUGUUAGUUUAAGAAUGGGUUAUUUUUAACCAGUACCCAAAUGUUUCAACAUUUUUUUAUCGUACACCCACUUGUUUUGACAACUAUCACCACGCACCCAAAACGUUAAAAUUCUAUGCUAGUUUAACGAUCAAAAGGGUAAAACAAGAAAUGCAAGUAUGUAAGAACUAAAAUAAUAAAAAUUAUAUUCAUUUCCUUCUCCGUUUUCCUUUCCUUUUUAAUUUUCUUCUCCAUUUCAAACGUAAAACAAAAACAAUGCAAGGGUAAUUUGUUGUUGCCGAAAUCCGAUGACCGGCAACAAGGGUUGUUCGCCUUUGUUCUCCUUUGCCCUCUUAAGUUUCACAAGCUGCAGCGUGGUCGCCGCAAGCGCAAGCAAUUUGGUGGCGAAAAUAGGUGGCGCACAAGAGUCGUGAGAUGCUGGUAACGGCAUCUUUAUUUGUUUUGUGGUUAUUUAUUUGGUAUAAUAAGUAUAUUGAAGUAUAAUCUCUACUAUAAAUUUGCUUUGUCCUCACUUGAAAAUAAGAUUUAUAUGGAGAUAUUGAAUUAAAUAAAAUUAUAAGCAAAUGGUUUAUUUGUUUAUUGUUUAGUUUUGUUAUAUUAUACUCUUAGAUUUGUAUUUUUAUUGUAAAUUUUGUAAAUUAGAAUGGGUAAUUUUGUAUCUGCACAACCAAAUCUAUUCAAUUUAAAGGUAUUUUAGUGUUUUCAAUAUAUAAUAGCUUAUGCCGUUUUACUUAACGGUAAAAAGUAACGGAAUGGAUGUGCAGUAAUACUUAUCAAAACAAUUGGGUGCACGGUAAAAUAUGUUGAAACAUUUGGGGGGGGGGGGGGGGAGGCAAACAGAGGUUAUGAUAGACAUCAAGAUCGAUAUAAUCCAUCACAGUAUACUUAUAAGCAAACAAUUAACAUCUUAUGACCAUGAUCAGGAGUGUAUAGUAGUUCAUAAGGAUACUUUCAUAGUGACUGUACCUUGCCUCCAGUAACUGUGCUCACAAUAGACUAGAGUUAUAAUUGGAACACUCCUCCUGCUCUCUCCCCUCUCUAUUUACCUCCUUCAGCUCUUUGAGCUCACCCUUGACUGCCAUAGUUGGCUCCAUGACAGAUGCUCCGCACAAUUCAGUUUAUAGUCUAAUUAACUUUCUUUAAGUUGAAUCUCAGAAACUUAAGAUCUGAAAGAACCUCACUGCACAGUGAACAAAAAUAUAUUUUAAAAAAACUAAUUAAAUUAUUAACCAAACUUUAGUUAAAAAAAAAAAUUAACAAUCCCGCAAAAAUAAUCUCAAUUGAGAGUAGUCAUCAAAUAACACUUCAACUAGAGUCUAUAGAAGUAGAAAAGUAAAAUAACGAUGUUAGGAGCUAGUGAUUAGUGAGGAUAAUAAUAAUAUUUUUAGAUUAAUGAUAAAUAAAAAUAAUGUUAAAUAAAAUGAAAAAAAUAAUAAGAAGAACCAAUGUAUAGUUAUACUUGACUGUAAUUCAAAAAACAAAUUGUAUACUUGACCGUUGGGACCCCUAUGGUUACAUCUUACCGGCGCGAAACUCUUGACCUCAACGGCCUGUUAUUGUGCAUUGAUUCAGGAUGGUAACUCAAUUUCAUUUACGGAUUUACCCUUAAGAAAAUAAAAAAACAGAUUAUUAAAUGCAGAGUGGGCCCUCUCCAACUUUCUUUGUAUUAAUAAUAGCCGUAAUAAAAAUACUCAUUACAGAAUUUUUUUCUGGGGAAAAAAAAAGACAACGCCUUGGCCCAGCUAAAGAGUAAGGUUCAGCGCCAAAAUAUUUAUUUAUCGACCUGGUUGCAUAAUAAGUACAUGAGUUGAUUUAGGGAGGAUGUUUCCUUUUAAUAAAAGGAAACAAAAUCAAAUUAAACAGGGCAUCGUUUAGGAAACCCUUCUCUAUUUAUACAUAUACUGUCCUAAUCGUCUGGUGCUCAUUAUCUCACAGAAUAUAAUCGUCCAUUACCAUGAUGCAAGAAAGAAGCCGCAUUCUUCCAGUGGGGUGCAAAUUCUUACCCUCUGAGGAGCAACUUGUUCAUUACUAUCUUUUCAACAAGAUUUCUGGAAUCCCCACUCCCUUUGUUGAAUAUUUUGUGAAAGAUGUAGAUCUUUACGAUUAUGAAGAACCCUGGGAUAUUUGGAAACAGUUCGGAGGACCCAAUUUAGAAGAUGGUGAGGAUCUUUACUUUUUCACUAACUUAAAGAAGAAGAGCAUUAAUGGUUCAAGAAUUAAUCGCAAGGUUGGUUCUGGUGCAUGGCAAGGGGAAGAUGCCGGCGAGCUAGUCCUGUCCCGCAACUCCAAUCGCCCAAUUGGUUCAAAGAAAAUAUUUCGAUAUGAGAACGACAACUUUCCACACAACCGUUGCUGGAUUAUGCAUGAAUACACUCUGAACGCUUCACUGUUGCCUCAGAACCAUCAUUCCAGCAGUGACUGUGUUCUCUGUCGACUUAGGAAGAAUGGUGGUCAGUCAGUGGGGAUCAAGGAUUCAAGGAAAAAGAUAAAGAAUGAUAAACAAGUUCAAGACAAUGAUCAUCAGCCAGCGGGGAAGUCAAAUUCAAGGAAAAGGGUAAAGUUUGAACACCAAGUUAAUGACAAUGAUCAGCCUGAUGAGCCUUUUGUUGAGAAUCACCAGAAUCAGUAUGUGCAAGAAAAUCAAUCGCAGCCCCUGAAUGAACGAAGUCCUCAUAAACUGCUUGAGUCCUCUGUUAAGAAUAACCCGGAAGAAAAACCACCAGUACCCAGGACUAAACAGACUCUUCUUGAACAAAUUGAGCAUUUAGCUGAGAAUGGAUAUCCAUCUACUUUUGAGGAGAAUCAACAACAGCCCAUGACUGAGCCAAAUCUUCAUAAUCAGCUUGAGCUUUCUCAGAAUCACCCGUUGAUGGAACAAACUCCAUCUUACCUUCUCAAGGGCCAAGAGGAAAAUCAUCAACUGGCCGUGACUGAACAGAAUCCUCAUCAUCUUGAGCUUUCCGACAAUCACCAGAAUAUGAAUCACACCUCGUCAUCUAACCUCGAAGAAAACCAACUUCCAGCAACUGAACAGUCGCAUGAUGAUGCUAUCUACUCUGAGCUUACUGAUAUUAAUUCUUGGGUCGUUCAUCAGCUUACCCGUAUUGACGAUGCUACCUACCCGCAUCUUGCUGAUGAUAAGUUUUUGGUUUCUAAUGAGCUUGUGUAUACGGAUUGAAAACGACUCAUUCAGCUGCAUGCUGGAUAACCCCUUUUCAGUUAAGCCCUUUUUUUUGUUCAGUUUUUAUUGACUCGAGGAAAACAGAAGUAUAUUAUAACACGUCUAUUUCACUAGUAUUUUUAGAUUUGCUCUGGUGCAAGAAAUUCUGACAAGUAGACAGAGUAUAUAAUAUCCAGAUGCAUUCGCUGUUCCAGUAUUGAUUUUUUUUUUCAGAUUUUAUUUUAAAUUGUAUCACCCAAGUUUUAGUUUUUCAUAUGUAUGUAUCUCAUGAUAAGAUUACCUGAAUCAUUAAAAACUGCUUGGAUUCAAUCUCCAUUAUUGAAGCAUCCAUUUGUGAUGAGCUUUUAAAUCUAUCCAAGAUUAAUCAAUUUAAGCACCUACAAGAUCGGAUUCUAUCAAGCCUAUAAAGGAGUAGAUGAAUCAAUCAACAGCUGGUAACGGCAGCAACAUCUUUACGCUACAAGAAUUCUUCACGUUACAAGGAUUCUAUUAGACAACAGCUAUAAAAAACUUGGAUGACCUACUACUCAUCAAGAUAUAGCACUCAUUUAGAGCAUUUUCAUCAGCUAUUUCACUUACACAACAGAUUUUUCAACUGAAUUUAACAAACUAAUUUCAAGUGGGCCCCACCACAGCGCCACCUCAGCCGAAACAUGUUUUCCCUUUUAACAGCCAAAUAACUAACUACUGAAAAAGCUUGAAUCAAUCAUUUUUAUCAAAUUUGAUUUCUCAUACUGAUCGUGUAAGAAUAUUUUUCAAUCACGUGUCUUGAAAAUAUUUUGAUGGAAAAUUAUUGACUAUUCCUUUGUCUCUUUGGCACAAAAGAAUUGAUCAUUAUCAAUUCUUUUGUGUGGGAAUGUGUAGUCCUCAUUAUAAAUUUUCGAAAACCAUGCUAAACGUUUUAAGGAUAUCGAAAUAUUAGAAAAUUGAUGGUAAAUUUGCAAGGAUGUCGCUGUUCAUAACUGAUAUUUGAUGAUUGAUGUGCUCUUAAUUUAAAUAUUAUUUUAAUAUUUUUCUAACUUAAUUUUAUAAUAAAAUUUAUUUUAUUAUGUUAAUUUUUUUUAUUUUGUUAGUGUAGAUAUAUCUUGGGAAUAAGAAGAAAUCAAUUGGAGCUUAAAGAAUAAUGGAGUACAAAACUAAUACCUUAUGGAAACAAAUAUUUGAUUGUCAAUUUUGCCAAACACAUGAGAAGUCAAACCGUGAGCAUGAAUUUAAAAGAAGAAAAAAAGGGGAAUGACUUCCAAGUUUAAGUUAUUCAAGUGGAGUGCACUAAAGGAUUAAUUGAUAAAUUAAAAUGGCAAGCAUGUGGUGGGCUUUUUGGACAAAUCCUUACUGGCUUAGCAAUUAUAAAGUUGUUUUGAUUUAAGGAUUGACCAUACCAAACAAGCACUUGGAGGACAAAGAUUAUUAUAUAAAGAGAUGAAAAACUGAGAACAAAAGAAUUCAAAAGAGAAGCAACCGUAGAAUUUUAUCGAAGCCGAGAGAAGAGAAGAGCUGCAAGAGAUCCAGAGAUAAGCCGAGAUUAAUUCUUGAGUUUUGCAAUAUUUUUAAAACAUUCUGGUCUUGCCUUAACAUUUCACCUCUCAUAGAACCACUUCUUUUGGAGCUGCAGGAAUACACUCCGCUUCCUCUUCCCCAAUCUAAUGCCCCCUUCAACCCUCGGAGUUAAACGAAAUCCUUCAUUGUAUAAAACUAAGCUCUCUGAAAAGUUCACCAUAUCUAGUGUAACUUCAUUAUCACCAAUCUCGAGAUGUUUAAAAGCCAGUUCAUUAAGGUCAUAAGAAACCAGCUCUCCACUAAUCAUUAACAUUCCAAAGUCACUAUUGUUGACAAUGCCUAAUGGCCUUACAAUUCUUUCCUCUGGCACAAUCGAGUAUUGUUUAGUCCAAGACUCCACCAUGCCAUACUCCCUCAUCACCCAAAUGUAACAGCCCUCGAUUAGUCUAAGAUUGCUGAUGCUGCAAACAAUCAGGGCAAGUGAUUCUCUUAACACGGCCACAGAAACUUGAGGCCUUUCUCCUUCGCCAUAUUCAUGAUACAUUGGAAGCAUUAUCUCUCCAAACUUCUCAGAAUCAAAAUCAAACAACAGGACAACAUUUGCAGAGGAUUCUUCUCCGGUUUAGAGGCAAAAAAAUGGACAGCUUCAUUGAGAAAUGCUGAUGAAAAUGUAUCAUUUGCAUAGUAUCCAGCAUUAUUUCCAAUUGUUCUCCAUGAAUUCGUUGCUAGCGAAUAUACCUCAACUCUUGGUGGUUUUUUUUCAACAUAUAAUGGCAUAUAAACAUCUCCAAAAUACAUUAUCCUUACAUUAUUUGAGGAUGAUUAUUUGGAAAAUGGAUUAAUUUGAGGAUUAUUAUUAUUUUUUUUUUUUGGAAAUGGAUUAUUUUGCUGAUGAUGAUGAAUCUGAUUAUGAUGAUUAUUAUUUUUGAAAUGGAUUAUUAUUUUGCUAAUGAUGAUCUUUUAUUUUGAUUAUUAUUAAUUUUAUUAUUAUUAUUAAUGAUAAAUUAUAAUUAAUUAAUACACUAAGAACAUAUGAAUAUAAUUAAUCAAUAUAUUAACAAUAAUUAAUAAUAAUAAUAAUAAUAACAAUUAACAAUAUUAUUAUUAUGAUAAAAAAAGAAAUAUAAUUAAUUAAUAUAACAACAACAACAAUGAUAAUAAUAGUUAUUAUUAUAAUUAAUUAAGGGUACUUUAAUAAUUUAAAACAAUUCAACUCAUUCCGAUUAUGAUUUUUACAGCUUAAGUAAAUAAUUUAUUCUAAUUGUCAUUCCCUAUUCCGAUUCAAGUUUAUUCCGAUUCUAGGCCAUUCCGAUUACUGACAAAUAAACGCAGUAUUUAUUGCUAACAAGUGGCAUAAUUAAAGAGGAAUUAAAAUAUUUAUAUCAUCUUAUAGUUAUCGUUUCAGUUUUGAUUUUAAAUGAUUAGGGAAUAGAUGACUGGAUACUUAAAGAAGAGUUAGAACAUUUUUAUUUUAUGUAUAGUACUUGAAAUUUCUCUACUGACUGUAUCUUCAACUUGUUCAUGUGCAUAUAGCACUACAGCUGGUAGAAACUAUAUAUGACUAAAGCUGGGCUUUAGUUUACUUGAAACGUUAGGAAACUAAAUGUUUAAAUUUAUAUUUAAAAAAAAUGAUGCAAGAUUUAAAAAGUUAAACAUUACCUCAAAUGCAUAGGUUUUAAUAUUUUUCCGAGUGUCACGCGCAUAUGUCAUAACCAUGCGCAUUAACUGUCACUACCGCAAAAGUUGCUGCCACAGAAGAUACUAGAAUCUUUGACGCAAAAUUAAUCACUUCAAUCUUAAAUAUAGCUGAGCCGAUGAUACAUAUACCUCAUCAAAUACUGAGGUGGAUUUAAAAUAUCAUGGACAUACUGCAAUUUAUGUGAGAUAUGAACUUAACAUAAUACAUGGGAGUUUGAACAUGGGACCAUACCAAACGUGUGGGGAAAUAUAAAACAUCUGGCGAUAAAAGGGGCCUUAAUUUAGGGACUAACAAGAUAAUCUUUAAAUGGUACAAAAUUAAUCCGUGCAAAAUAAUUUGAAAAUGCCAUCACCAAUUAUUUGGAUGUGAUUGUGGGAUGAGAUCUUGUCAUUAGCGAAGACUUGUACAAGUCGUCAGCAGAAAGGGCAGAAGUUGUUUUCAAUUUUUAAUGCCUUAUUUUGUCGUCCUUUCUCUGUUUUUAAACCUUUCCAACUUUGACUUUUGAACAAGGGGAGGCCGUCUUUUGUUUUUUUUCCUUUUCCUUCCUCUUCUACUAAUAACCAAGCAAAACAGUAACUAACAGUUUGAACAGCAUUUUCGUUUCUACAAAUUUAAAAUUACCCUGAAAAUUUUGAUACUGCAUGCAUUCGGAAAUACAUAACAACUGAAUUAAUUCGUUCAAAUUGGAAAAUAUCAUUCAAAAAUAUAAUUAGAUAAAACUCAAUCUUUAUUCUACUUCACCUCUUCACCAUUCACUUGGAUUUAGAAAGCAAGAAAUAUUUCAUGAUCUCAUCAUCUCCCUUGUGGGUCAAUGAUCUCAGAGAAGACAUCUCUACAGAGGGAUCCGCUCACAGAACAUUGUUCAUUUGAAAGAUAAGCCUCAUGACCAAACUUUCCACUCUCCUCUGCGCUCUCUUGUAGCUGAAAUGCAAACUCAAGACCACGAACCACAUCACUCAUGGAUGGCCUUUGGGCUCCAUCAUCAUUCAAGCAGCUAAUUGCAACCUCAGCAAAUUUGUUCAAGCAUUCAGCUGUUAUGUUACCUUUCAAAAGCGGAUCAACAAUCUCAUCAAUGGUUCCAUUGCGAUAACAUUGUUCAGCCCAAACAGCUAAACUCGCUUGAUUCCUUUCCAUUGUCCGAAUAAUAGGUGGUCGAGCGCACAAUGCUUCCAAUAACACAACGCCAAAUGAGUAGACAUCGGAUUUUUCCGUUAGCUGCUGAAGUCGAUAAUACUCAGGAUCUAAGUACCCGAUGCUCCCCUUCAC